rnacentral:SRP_RNA from 8 species
GCCGGGCGCGGUGGCAUGUGCCUGUAAUCCAAGUCACUGGGAGGCUGAGGUUGGUGGAUCAAGUGAGCUGAGGAGCUCUGGGCUGCAGCACGCUACGUCGAACGGGUGUCCACGCUAAGUUCAGUAUCGAUAUGGUGAUCCUGGGGGAGCCCGGGACCACCAGGUUGUCUAAGGAGGGGUGCACCGGCCCAGGUCGGAAACGAAGCAGGUCAAAUCCCCCGUGCUGUCCAGUAGUGGGAUAAUACC